AAGCGAUUUAUUUGUGUAGCUCAUUAUACAUGCAGAUUCCGAUGUUUACGUCAUUGAAAAUACAAUGACAUCAACAUCGGAAUCUGCAUGUAUAAUGAGCUACACAAAUAAAUCGCUU